CUUACCAUCUCCAUUUUGUUGCCCUGCCUGCUUCAGAUUUGAGACAGACAUCGCAUGCGAACAUAUUUUGAUUUUUAACAAUGUUCAGGCGAAGCAGGUUUCUUUCCUUCCCUACGGUAAUCGGUGCAGUCAUUAUUGGUGUUGUUUCUGGGAAGGCAAUAUUUGGACCCCCACUUGAUGAGUAUUGGAAAAAGAAGCAUCAAGAAGAGAUAUCUGCAGCCGCUACUAAGGAGAAUGACUCAACUCCAACUUAGUUCACCGUCAAGUAAUAACAUCAUCAUAUUUUUCUCUUUCUUAGGAUUAAAGAUAAGGAUUUAUAGGCCACAUUUGAAUUUAAUCUUGAAAGAGUCACUGCAUUAACUUUGCUAGGGAUUGUUGUUGUAUAAGCAGUUUGAAUUCUUUACUCUAGAAAUUCUCUGUAUAAUUCUUUUUUCAGCUACCAUUGGGUUACAAGCAUUUAUAUUAAGCUGUUGCCAUCAAUGUAAAAUUGUUAUUCUCUAAUAAAACAAGUUGUCCUUUGGACUGCAUAUACAAAUUUUGUAACUGUGAUUGGAUUCCUC